rnacentral:rRNA from 1 species
AACGAACGCUGGCGGCAGGCUUAACACAUGCAAGUCGAACGCCCCGCAAGGGGAGUGGCAGACGGGUGAGUAACGCGUGGGAACGUGCCCUUCGCUUCGGAAUAGCCCCGGGAAACUGGGAGUAAUACCGGAUACGCCGUAUUGGGAAAGAUUUAUCGGCGAAGGAUCGGCCCGCGUUGGAUUUGCUAGUUGGAGGGGUAAUGAACCCCCAAGGCUACGAUCCAUAGCUGGUCUGAGAGGAUGAUCAGCCACACUGGGACUGAGACACGGCCCAGACUCCUACGGGAGGCAGCAGUGGGGAAUCUUGGACAAUGGGCGCGAGCCUGAUCCAGCCAUGCCGCGUGAGUGAAGAAGGCCUUAGGGUUGUAAAACUCUUUCGCCGGAGAAGAUAAUGACGGUAUCCGGAGAAGAAGCCCCGGCUAACUUCGUGCCAGCAGCCGCCGUAACAC